rnacentral:rRNA from 1 species
CUACGGGUGGCUGCAGUCGAGAAUCUUCCACAAUGGGCGAAAGCCUGAUGGAGCGACGCCGCGUGACCGAAGAAGCUUUUCGGGGUGUAAAGGUCUUUUCUGUCUGAGAAAUUUUGGCUUGCCAAAAUGAUGCUAAGACAGGAAUAAGGGGUGGCUAACUUCGUGCCAGACGCCUCGGUAAUGCGAAGGCCCCGAGCGUUAUCCGGAAUCACUGGGCGUAAAGCGUGUGUAGAUGGUUUUAAUAGUGAUUGGUUAAAUCCUGGAGCUUAACUCCAGAACUGCUGGUCAAACGUUAAAACUAGAGUGAGCGAGAGGUUAAUGGAACUUACCAAGUAGGGGUGAAAUCCGUUGAUAUGGUAGGGAACACCAAAGGCGAAGGCAAUUAACUGGCGCUUGUCUGACACUGAGACACGAAAGCGUGGGUAGCGAACGGGAUUAGAUACCCGUGUAGUC